rnacentral:rRNA from 1 species
UACAGAGGGUGCAAGCGUUAAUCGGAAUUACUGGGCGUAAAGGGUGCGUAGGUGGUUGUAUAAGUUGGGUGUGAAAGUCCUGGCUUAACCUGGGGAUUGCGCUCAAUACUGUAUAGCUAGAGUACUGUAGAGGAAGGUGGAAUUUCCAGUGUAGCGGUGAAAAUGCGUAGAUAUUGGAAGGAACAUCAGUGGCGAAGGCGACUUUCUGGACAGAUACGUGACACUGAGGCACGAAAGCGUGGGGAGCAAACGGGG